CCUACGUGAGGCUGCAGUGAGGAAUAUUGGUCAAUGGCCGAGAGGCUGAACCAGCCAAGUCGCGUGCAGGAAGACGGCCCUACGGGUUGUAAACCUCUUUUGUCGGGGAGCAAAGCGAGUCACGUGUGACUCAUUGAGAGUACCCGAAGAAAAAGGAUCGGCUAACUCCGGGCCAGCAGCCGCGGUAAUACGGGGGAUGCGAUAGUUAUCCGGCUUUAUUGGGGUCAAGGGGUGCGCAGGCGGAGGUGCAAGUCAGCGGUCAAAUUGCGGGGCUCAACCCCGUACUGCCGUUGACACUGCAUCCCUUGAGUGCGCGAGAAGUAUGCGGAAUGUGUGGUGUAGCGGUGAAAUGCAUAGAUAUCACGCAGAACUCCGAUUGCGAAGGCAGCAUACCGGCGCGCAACUGACGCUCAUGCACGAAAGCGUGGGUAUCGAACAGGAUUAGAUACCCUUGUAGUC
rnacentral:rRNA from 1 species